CAUGCAGAAGAAGAAUAAUUUAACUAAUUAAUUCCUGUUAAACGGGGGACAAAUCAUUGCUUGUUUGUCAGCUGUGUAACUACUUCACCAGAAUUGCUCAACAUCUUGUAAAAUUUUGCAACAAAAAAUAAGAAGUUUAAGAUCAGUCAUUGUUGAUAAGUGUUGCAGGAAAGUCAAGAUUAACAGACGAGUGGGAAAUCAAAGACUGGAUGAACGCUGGGGAAACUGACGGAGAGGUGAGCUCUGGAAAGGAGGAAGGAUACUUCCUGUUCCUACUGGAGUGACCCGCAGGUCUGAGGAGGAGUGAGGGAGUGAGAGAGAAGGCGGAGGAAGCGAAAUUGGAGAAAAAACACCUUGUGAAACCUGCUGUGGAAGUAAAAGUACCCAUUGUGUGUGGAGCAAUGUUGUAAUAGACAAACAAGGACAAAAAUCUGCAUCUAAUCCUCUCAGGUGAGCAAUGACUCGGACCUGCAGAGUUAGCUGGAUGUCUGGUUCUCUUGGCUUCAGCCUGGAAAAGUGCUGAUUGUGGAAGGGUUGCUGGAGGAGCUCUCUCUUGGGCAGAUGGUGAGGAGACAGGGGGAGUUUUCACCCUGCUGCUUAG
ensembl:processed_transcript si:rp71-1h3.1 si:rp71-1h3.1